ensembl:snRNA U2 U2 spliceosomal RNA
AUCGCUUCCGGCCUUUGUCCUAAGAUCAAGUGUAGCUAUUGUUUUAUCAUGCUUUAAUAUCUGAUAGUCCCUACCCGGGGACCAUAUAUUAAAUUGAUUUUGGAGCAGGGAGAGGAUGGAAUAUAGGGCUUGCUCCGUCCACUCCACGCAUCGACCCGGUAUUGCAGUACUUCCGCGGACGGUUGCUGCACCC